rnacentral:rRNA from 1 species
AAACCAACCGGGAUUGCCUCAGUAACGGCGAGUGAAGCGGCAAAAGCUCAAAUUUGAAAUCUGGCACUUUCAGUGUCCGAGUUGUAAUUUGUAGAAGUAGUUUUGGGACUGGUCCUUAUCUAUGUUUCUUGGAACAGGACGUCAUAGAGGGUGAGAACCCCGUAUGAUGAGGCCCCCAGUCCUUUGUAAAACGCUUUCGAAGAGUCGAGUUGUUUGGGAAUGCAGCUCUAAGUGGGUGGUAAAUUCCAUCUAAAGCUAAAUAUUGGCGAGAGACCGAUAGCGAACAAGUACAGUGAUGGAAAGAUGAAAAGAACUUUGAAAAGAGAGUGAAAAAGUACGUGAAAUUGUUGAAAGGGAAGGGCAUUUGAUCAGACAUGGUGUUUUGCGCCCUUUGCUCCUUGUGGGCGGAGGAUACGCAGCUCACUGGGCCAACAUCAGUUUUGGGAGCAGGAUAAAUCUGUAGGAACGUAGCUUUCUUCGGGGAAUGUUAUAGCCUAUGGGAAUACUGCUACCUGGGA